UUCUUACUCCCUCCGUCCGGAAAUACUUGUCGAAGAAACGGAUGAAAAUGGGUGUAUCUAAAACUAAAUUGUGUCUAGAUACAUCCAUUCUUCCGACAAGUAUUUCCGGACGGAGGGAGUACUUA
rfam:Triticum aestivum genome assembly, contig: Triticum_aestivum_CS42_TGACv1_scaffold_407924_5BL